AGAUGCAACACCACCAUUCGGACUCAACCACCUCAUCACUUAUCUGACAAACAACAUUCAUCAAUAAUCACCGCCUUUCUGGCUUAGUCGCCAGUUGAAUAUUUUCCAAGGGACUCUUUAAACCAUUGUUUUGUUUUCUGACUGGAAUUAGAAGAUUUUGCUCUGUGAAGACACAUGGAUGUUGUGACUGGACUAGUGUUGCUGAUGUUAAGAGGACUGUCUGAUGCCACAGUGACCAUCUGUAAUGCUACUCAGAAGUCAUCACAGUGUUUUGUGGCUUUGGGUGGAACUCUGGAUCUUAAGCUAAUGAACAAUGACAGGGGAUGUGAGCUGCAGUUUAAAAAGAACCGUACUCAAGGUCCUGAACAGAUAUUCAUCAUGAAAAAAAACAAAGUGUCCAUCAAAGGACCCACUGAAGGUAGAUCAGAGUUCUUUAUGAACAAUGGGACCUUCAGGUUAACCAAUGUGGAGAGGGCUGAUUCUGGACAAUACUUCCUGGAAAUCUACAAUUCUAAUGGGUCGAGUUUAGGAACCAGAAUA
ensembl:lncRNA